CCUACGGGAGGCAGCAGUGGGGAAUAUUGGGCAAUGGGCGCAAGCCUGACCCAGCAACGCCGCGUGAAGGAAGAAGGCUUUCGGGUUGUAAACUUCUUUUCUCAGGGACGAAGCAAGUGACGGUACCUGAGGAAUAAGCCACGGCUAACUACGUGCCAGCAGCCGCGGUAAUACGUAGGUGGCAAGCGUUAUCCGGAUUUACUGGGUGUAAAGGGCGUGUAGGCGGGAGUGCAAGUCAGAUGUGAAAACUAUGGGCUCAACCCAUAGCCUGCAUUUGAAACUAUACUUCUUGAGUGCUGGAGAGGCAAUCGGAAUUCCGGGUGUAGCGGGGAAAUGCGUAGAUAUUAGGAGGAACACCAGUGGCGAAGGCGGACUGCUGGACAGCAACUGACGCUGAGGCGCGAAAGCGUGGGGAGCAAACAGGAUUAGAUACCCGGGUAGUC
rnacentral:rRNA from 1 species